GCAACGAGGGGCGUGGCUGAGGUGCAGGGGCGUGGCCUGCGGAACCGAGCUGGAGCCGCGGGUUACCUGUGUAGCCCCCUUGGAUUGAAAGAGAGGCAGGUGAUGCAGGGGCGUACCCACGCGGCGAGGCCUUGGCUGCUGAGUUCAGAGUGCUUUGAUUUCCGCCCUUGUGAGCGCUGCCCUGAGCUCUGCACCCGUGCGUGCUCUCUGUGGGGACAGGGGCGCGUAGGUGAGGCCGCCCACGGUGCAGGGGCGGGGCGGACGGGUCGCGGGAAGGGGUAACGCGGAGGAGGUGCCGAGGUCUGCCAUGGGUGAGCACAUGCUUUUCCUGUGAGGACCCCUCAGAUGAUGGACCCCCGACCCAGGAGGGCGCCCUCAGGGUUAUCUCUUGGGCUCAGUGGAAGUACUAUGAAUCUGCUGUUCCUGGAGGCCAUCCCCCCCAUUUUAUUGGAUAAGAUAGAAAUUGAGAGGGAGGGGAAGACGGGGAGAGAGAGAUAGACACCUGCAGACCUGCUUUACCACUUGUGAAGCAACUCCCCUGCAGGAGGGGAGCCAGGGCUCGAAUCAGCAUCCUUACUCAGGUCCCUGUGCUUCACGUUAUGUGGUGCUUGGGCUGAACCUGAAGCAUGAAAGCCUUUUUAAAUUUUACAUAUUUUUAUUGUCACCAGGGUUAUCACUGCAGCUUGGUGACAGCACUACAAACCCAUCGCUCACGGUGGCUGGCUCCCUCCUUCCUACUAUCCUUGAUAGGCUAGAGAGAAAUUGAGAGGGGAGGGGGAAGUAGAGAGGGACAGAGCCAGAGAGACACCUAUGAUGCUUGAUUCACCACUCCUGAAGCUUUCCCCCUGCAGGUGGGGAGCAGGGGGCUCAAACCUGGGUCUUUUUUUCCCCUGAGAAUCACCCCUCCCAUUUUUUUUCCUCUCAGAGCAUUGCUCAGUUCUGGCUUAUAGUUAGUUGUGUGGGGGGUUGAACCUAAAACCCUGUAGCCUCAGGCACGAGAGAGUCUCUUGGCAUAACCAUUAUGCUAUUUCCCCUGCCCGAGAACCCCAGAUCUGAAGGUUCUCCUUGAGACCAAGACCUGUCUUUGUGCAAAGACAUCCCGAGGGUCUUUUCACUUUAAUUAGAUAGCUGAGAAGUAAGCGUGGUAUGUGCAGCCUCAGAGGAGCAUGUGGGGAGAAGCCUUUAUUAAGGGAGGGGGAGGCCUCAGUUCCUGCCUAGAACCAUCUCCUUCCAGGUAUCUCAUAGCCACUUAAUGUCUGCAAGAAGCUACCUGAGCACGUUUUCUGGUCAGCAGGAAGCCAUCCUAAGGGGAUGUGGACUCUGACAACACAAGAGGAAAAGCAGAACAGCUCCAGCCACAGCCCCACUGCAACAGCUCCAAACCGGGUUGUGUCCUCUCAUUCCCUCCAUUGGAAACUGCAGGAGUUCUCCCAAGAUCACAGAUCUGGAUACUGAAGGAAUUCUUACAAGCAGCCCCAGGGGACAGUCACCACUGAAUCCAGAAUCCUUAGAUCUCAUCCCUGGAAGGUUCUCUGAGCUGACCCCACAGAGGAAAUGUCAUCAUCACCAUGAAUCCCCUUGCCAGGUGCCCCCUCCUUCUCCCAUUCACUCAGAGAUGACAUGUGCAGCUGCUUCGGGGUUUGGGUCCCUCAGUUCUUUUGACCAUGGUGUUUGGAGCAACUGUGUUCAUCUCCCUGUUGUAAUUUGCCCUUAUUCUUAGCCUGUUCAUUUCCUAUCCAUGACUAGCUUCGAACACAGACAUUUAACUUGGUUUCAGAUCUUCAAAGGGGAACCUUGGGACAGACACCCUGCCCACUGUGUGGUCAUUUCCAUUCUGUGUUUUUAUUCUUUUCUAUCUGACUCAAAGCUCGGGUUCUGCACUCAGUC